GAUGAACGCUAGCGGCAGGCCUAAUACAUGCAAGUCGUACGGGCUUCGAGCAAUCGGAGUUAGUGGCGUACGGGUGCGUAACGCGUACACAACGUACCUUUUACUGGGGGAUAGCGGUGGGAAACUGCCAGUAAUACCCCAUGGUAUCCUUGGAUGGCAUCAUUUGAGGAUUAAAGCUCCGGCGGUAAAAGAUCGGUGUGCGUCCGAUUAGCUAGUUGGUGGGGUAACGGCCCACCAAGGCUACGAUCGGUAGGGGGUGUGAGAGCAUGACCCCCCACACGGGUACUGAGACACGGACCCGACUCCUACGGGAGGCAGCAGUAAGGAAUAUUGGACAAUGGAGGGAACUCUGAUCCAGCCAUGCCGCGUGAAGGAAGAAGGCCCUACGGGUUGUAAACUUCUUUUGAGUGGGAACAAAAUACCCGAUUAAUCGGGAGCUGAGGGUACCACUAGAAUAAGCACCGGCUAACUCCGUG
rnacentral:rRNA from 1 species